GUGCCAGCCGCCGCGGUAAUACCCGCGCCCCGAGUGGUGGUCGAUAUUAUUGAGCCUAAAACGUUCGUAGCCGGUCUUCUAAAUCCUUGGGUAAAUCGGGCAGCUUAACUGUCCGAAUUCCGGGGAGACUGGGAGACUUGGGACCGGGAGAGGUCAGAGGUACUUCUGGGGUAGGGGUAAAAUCCUGUAAUCCUGGAAGGACCACCGGUGGCGAAGGCGUCUGACUAGAACGGAUCCGACGGUGAGGAACGAAGCCCUGGGGCGCAAACGGGAUUAGAUACCCGCGUAGUCC
rnacentral:rRNA from 1 species